GAAUUGUUGGUUCAGUUAGUCAGAGCAUGGUGCUGAUGAUGCCAAGGCUGCAGGUUUGAUCCCUGUAUGGGAUCCCU